GCAUCGGAGCCCUUUCUGAUGGCCAAAAAGGGUAAAAAUUUCUUCUUUUGCUCAGAAUUCAAAUCUAGACACACCCAUGGCUAAAUCGAAGCAAAAGGACCGGCUAAUUGGUCAAAAAAUAUAGGCGAAGCCCGGCAGCACUGUCAUGGGGAAUUUCACAAAACACCUCCGAUGGGGCCCUUCCUGAUUCCUGUUCUGUAUAAUUUUUCCAC
rnacentral:lncRNA from 1 species